GCUCUGUUUAGAGUUGUAUUAGCUAUUUACCUUAACCGAAAACAUUAAUAAUCAAACAUUACAAAAGAAUAUCUAACUUACACAAUGAGCUUUAAUUCAGUAAUACUGGAAUCGUUUCUAGGGCUAUGAGGUUUCGAGUUCGAGUCUCAGUCGGAGCAAACUGUACCGAAAAGAAAAAUUAUACAGGACCAAAAAGAAAAAGAAGAGAGGGAAAAAAAAUGGUAGCUUCUAUAUAGAUAGCAAGUUUCAGACUGGGGUCUGAAUUCUGCAUCCUUGCCUCUCAUGAUGGAAGACGUUUGAUCUUCAAACAAAGAAUGAACAAAAAAAAUAUACAGUUGUUGCACAUCUAUGCCUUCUCAUGAGAGGAUGGUUUUAAGUGCGUCUUUCACAUAGGGAUAUUGAAACUGGAAACCCAACUCCUUGGCUCUUGUAGGAAGCACUUUUUGUCCGUCCAAAACCACAGAAGCACCUUCUCCAAGGACUGCUUUGAGGGCAAAGUCUGGUACAGGUAGCCAUGAGGGCCGGCCUAGGACAUUUCCCAGUUGUUCACACAUCUCUGCCAAUCGAACAGGAUUUGGUGCAGUUCCAUUGAUUACUCCUGAAAUUUAGGCUAAUUAUAAUUGAGUUCAAAAUAUGAAGUUUCGAAUUCAAAUGUUCUAAUGCAAACGGCACCCAGUUGAGCAAAAGCCACCCACUCAGAAACAAGACAUGCUCAUUUCAUAGGUUGGACAAGAAGGGAUUUUCACUUGUAGCAUCUUAGGUAGACAUGCACCCUGUAAAACUAGACCAGACUAUUUUGGCUGGUUUGGUCCAAUUCCUAAUCCAGGCCAAAUUUUUCACUUAAAAAAUAAAAAAUUUUAAACAAAUUUUGACCAUCAGAUUUGAUCAAACCAGAUCAAAUCAAAUUGGACCGAAUUGGAAUUGAAAUAAAGACUGAAAUCUUUUGGUCUGAUCCCAGGCUCUUAAGACUGGAACCACUGUGCCCAUGCCUAUCUCUAUGAGAGGAAUAUUGUCUGCUAGGUUAUGCUUUCACUGUCAAUAAGUUAGGCCAGAAUAUGCAUAAACAACAUAUCUGAAAAUAAAAAACUAACAUGGAAAUUUGCAGUAAAGUUGAUGAUGUACGUGCUUGUUCAAUUGUGCAUGUACAUGUCUUAUCACUAACCAGAGUGGGGUAAGGCAGCAUCAAACACUCAUGCACUGAUAAUUUACAUCCCUUUUAACCAAUCAAGAGAAGAGUACCUUUAUAAGAAGGAUUUGAUAAA
rnacentral:misc_RNA from 1 species